CUGUCGCUGGCUAGGUGAUUCUAGCAUGUGCA
rnacentral:rRNA from 1 species